GGAAAUACUGUUUCUCUCCUUCGCGUUGCCUCCCCCAGUUCUCUGCAAAUCCGGAUCUCACUCACCCAUGCGCACCAACCCACGACUUCAGCAGUUGUGUUUCAUCUCCUUUUACACUCAAGAUUUUUUUUCGGCUUCUUGAACAGAGUGGUGGUGUUACUAUUAGAGUUCCGGCUCAAGUUGUUGAUAAUACGAAGAAGUCAG